GGAGAGGUACCGAAGUGGCCGUAACGGGGGCGACUCGAAAUCGCCUUGUCCCUUAACCGGGGCACGUGGGUUCGAAUCCCACCCUCUCCG
rnacentral:tRNA from 1 species